GGCCUCGUAUCAAAGUUAUCUAGAGCGUUGGCUGACUUAAAGCCUUCUCCUUGCUGGCGUGGGUUCGAAUCCCACCGAGGUCA
rnacentral:tRNA from 1 species